UUUGUGGUGUCGUGCCUUGGUUUGAUGAAGAAGGUUGUGAAAGAGGAGGCUGUGAACCCACUCUUGGUACCGAUGUAUGAGAUUGUGCAGUUGUUGUCCUGUUAUGGCCUCCUCUUGCCACCUAAACAUAUUAAUAUACUAGUAAAAUGCCAAAAAAAAUGAUAUUAUAUUUUGACCAUAGAAAAAAUGACAUAUGAAAGUGAAAGAACCUUUAACUGUUGUUUCCUUUGCCUAACUGGCUUAUCUUUGGG
rnacentral:lncRNA from 1 species